UCCGAAUUGGUGUAGUGGCUAACAUUUGACGCUCUCAUGAUCCUCAUGAUCUUCAUGAUCACGGACAGGUGCCGUCAAGCCCGGGGUUCGAUUCCCCGAUUCGGAG